AUUGAACGCUGGCGGCAUGCCUUACACAUGCAAGUCGAACGGCAGCACGGGAGCAAUCCUGGUGGCGAGUGGCGAACGGGUGAGUAAUAUAUCGGAACGUGCCCAGUCGUGGGGAUAACGUAGCGAAAGCUACGCUAAUACCGCAUACGAUCUACGGAUGAAAGCGGGGGAUCGCAAGACCUCGCGCGAUUGGAGCGGCCGAUAUCAGAUUAGGUAGUUGGUGAGGUAAAGGCUCACCAAGCCGACGAUCUGUAGCUGGUCUGAGAGGACGACCAGCCACACUGGGACUGAGACACGGCCCAGACUCCCUACGGGAGGCAGCAGUGGGGAAUUUUGGACAAUGGGCGCAAGCCUGAUCCAGCAAUGCCGCGUGCAGGAUGAAGGCC
rnacentral:rRNA from 1 species